UCCCACGUGACUCAAUGUUUUGGGUGAUGA
rnacentral:piRNA from 1 species